UUAGUUCAUCAAAUUUGGAGAUUAUUUAGCCAUUGAAGAACAGCAGACAAGUUUCAAAUAUAAAUGAGCUUCGUGAGAAGCUGGACGAGCGUAGAAGAUCAAGGAAAUACAAGCAUUAUAAGUCUGCGGAUUUAAGUCCACGAAAAGUUCGGCAUUCUGGUAGAUGAUUUAUACUGAGUGAUCCGUCAAUUACCGAUCUCGAUUUAAGGGAAAAUCAUCAAUUUUCAAAAACUGAAGAAUUCGCAGCGACAGCAUGGGGUUGAAUCGAUCUUUCGGUAGCUCCAGCUCAAAUUACGAUUUUGAGAAAAAUCAACAGAAUAUGUGUAAUUGCAAGGUGCCUGCCGUGAUUUUGACGUCGAGGACUACGGCCAAUCCGUUCCGGCGUUAUUAUUGUUGUCAGUACCAUCAUCAGGAACACGACUGCCGUUUUUUUGACUGGAUUGAUCCAGAAAUGUCAACAUUCCAGAAAGGGUGUGUCAACAAAGUUCGUCGUGAAAGAGAUAUGGCAGAGGAAGAAAUCGAAGUAUUGAGGAAUGAUUUGAAAAAAUUGCAAUGCCAUUACAAGCUACUCAAAUUGAUCAUGAUUUGUUUCCUCAUUUAUUGGGCAAUAGCAUGGAAGUAGUUUGGUAAAGUGUUAAGUUUUUUGAACUUAUGCAGCAUGAAGUUUACUCCUUCAAAUUUUCAGCUUUUAUGCUAUGUAUUUAAGGCUUCAAUCUUAAUGUAAUGAAGGAUGUUAUCCACUUGUA